ACUCCUACGGGAGGCAGCAGUGGGGAAUAUUGCACAAUGGGGGAAAGCCCAUCGAUGCAGCCAUGCCGCGUGUGUGAAGAAGGCCUUCGGGUUGUAAAGCACUUUCAGUAGGGAGGAAGGUAGUGUAGUUAACACCUGCACUAUUUGACGUUACCUACAGAAGAAGCACCGGCUAACUCCGUGCCAGCAGCCGCGGUAAUACGGAGGGUGCAAGCGUUAAUCGGAAUUACUGGGCGUAAAGCGUGCGCAGGCGGUCUGUUAAGCGAGAUGUGAAAGCCC
rnacentral:rRNA from 1 species